CCACCCAAGGUUUUUUUUUUUUUUUUUUUGCGAUAAAAGGUUUAGCACAUUGAAAUGUUUACCGAUAUAGCUGAUGGUAAUGCAAAUCAUCGAUAAAAUUUCACAAGGGACAGAAUCUUUUUUCGUUUAACUUUUCCCCCAAACAAACUGUUUGGGGGAAAAAAGUGUAACAUGACAGAAUUUAUCCAUCAGUCAGGGGAAGAAUAGGGAUGAGCAUGCCAUCCAAACCUGUGACCAAAGAUGUGCCAAGGAAUUAUGGUAUACAAUUUCAUUGGCCUGCGCUACAUUCAGCAGUCUGUGCAUACAGCAUAUACACAUCGAUGGACAGUCUUCUCUCACUAACUACUAACCCCGAAAGUUUCCUCCACUACACUGUACUUGGCACAGGAUGCCAACUUGGGCAGGGCGAGAGCAAUCCUCUUCCUGGUCAGAACCAGUGGUCAGUGGCAACCUCGAUGUGCGCAGCUCUCCAACACUACCUCUCCCACGGGCAGGGCCGGAGUGGGACCAUUUUCAGGUAGGGAUUUUAAUGCCCAAGACCAGCCCUUUGCAACCGUUUGUUCUUACUAUCUUGUUAUAUCUAUUACUGACAUGUUUCAAUAAGAAUAUAAAGAUAAACAACAUAUGACAUACAUAAAAAGAGCAUUAUUUUCUGCUACAAAAAGUCCAAUUGUUCCAUUAUGAAAAAAAUGUUUGUUUGCAUUCAAACAAAUAUGAAGUACCUCAAUAAGAAAUUUUUUUGGCAGCCACGGCAUGUGAAGACGGUUUGUUUACAUCUCCAUGGUAACGGCCUGAGUAUGUGUACACGUGUGUGUGCAUGUGUGUGUGUGCGAGAGAGAGAAAGAGAGAGAGAGAGAGCAUGCGCACUGAGCCAAGUGACGUAUGUGAUGGCAGGCCUGCAGCCCGCACAUGCCAAACACAACGUGCUCCUUGCGCAACUGCCGGCAUGGUGCUGAACGGACAGUGCCAUUUCAGCACCCUGAGUGUUUUGGACAGCACGGAAGCACAUGGCUACAAGGUGGGGCGGCAGAAACACACAUGGCUGGCAGCCAAUGAGUGGAACACCUGCUCUUCACCCUCCUGCAGAAGCCAGGAGGGUAUAAAAGGGUGCAUCCAGCAUUCAGAGUUGAACAAGUCUAUCUAUCUCUAUCUCUCACACAGAGGUCACCGCUGCCACUGACGAAGACGACUCCCCGGCCACACUGCGCUCUCCGCAGGCACCUGCGCUCAGCCUUUCAUGCCCUGUGCUUGACGCUGCUGCAGCCCGAACGCCAGGAAGACCGCGCUCUGCACCUCCACUCCGCACCUUCUCACCCAUCACCCCUUUUUCUAAUUGAAAAUAAAAAGCGCACUUUUCCGCACGUCUCCCUCCUGUGUGUCUGUGCUCUGCCCUUUGUUCUGCUGCUUUAAAUACAAAUGUAGUGUAAUUCGUUACUUUAGUUAUUAGUCACACAAUAUUGUAACACAUGCUUAUUUUAUGAGCCCAAUUUAAGCGCAGCCCACCGGGAAUUCUCGCGAUUUUCCUGAUGAGCCUCUCCGGCUAUGCCCAUGGACUUCGGCAUACUUGAAGCACUAUCGGACGAGCAGCUACUCCAUUCUGACGUCGUCUUCUGAUAUUUCAUACAACCGCAAUUAUUUGUGAAAUUAAAAUGAAAGUAAGCUGGUGUAUUUCAUUUAAAUGUCACAAUACUUUCUCCAUUUUACAAAAAUCUGAGGACAUGCAGGACACAAAAGGUACACAAUUUGUGAUAUACACAAAAUUAUAGAUGAGCAGAUUUCUUUUGCGAUACACCAAAACUUAUACAAUAUAUAUAUAUAUAUAUAUAUAUUUUUUAAAGGCAUACCAUUUUAUCUGUAAACCUGAAGCGGAUUUAACAAAAUUUGUACAAAUGGAUACCAAAUAUAAGGAUUAUUUCACAGUAGACGGAGUAUAGUCUGGAUUUGGGUCUUGGCUGAUUGGAGGUCACUCACUUGAAUGAUGCAGCACACUGCGGAAUGCUGUUGGUGUGAGUGUAACACAACAUGUCUGAAGAAAAGCUCUCAUCUCAGCAUCACUGAGAGAGGACACACACAGAGAGAGAAAGAGAUUGCUGUGGGAAGGCAGUGCUGCUCAUAUUAUUAGACUUCUAGCCCAAUUUUUACGUCCCAGUGUUAUGGUGAAUGUGUGUCUGUGCGUGUCUGUGUUUGUUUGUGUAAUGGUACAGGACAAUUAUAGAGAGAAAUGCAGCCAGGAAUGUCAUCCAGGUCGUCAUAACAACAGCUGGGAUGAUGUGUCUGUGUGUGUGCGCAUGUGUACGUGUUUGUGCAACAGUUCAUAAUGCAUGAAGCAAUAAAGCAUUUAUUUCUCUCUUUAUCUCUAUAUGCAGAUAUAUGCAUCUGAUGCAAGCAGCUUGACCAUUAAUUCUUUAUGAGAGAAAGCACAGUCCCUCACGAAUAUAGAGUGGCUGCUGCACUUAUCGAAUUCGUGCAGGAUCGAUACGCGAAACCUUGUUCAGAGUUUUGAACAAAAGCAUGACUCAGAGGGGACCACCGACAAGGCAAUAUAUUCAGCUCAUGUCCGGAGUUUAUUUUACUUACACAUAAAGAGCUCUUUGAUUAAUGACAUUUAAGGAUCUGCAAAAUAUAAUGUGACUAUUUUUUGUUUAUAGAAGAUUCAUUUGCCAACGAGGUGACCCUCGUUUGGAAUGCAAUAGAUUUGUAUUUCGUGGGUGUUUUGGCUUUCAGUGGUGUGAGAAGUUUGUUCAAAGUAAGCUAUAACGGAAUCCAGAGUGAGAGAAGAGACAGAUGAUGUAAUGCCUAGCUCCUACUCUUGGAGCCCAGUGGAUUCUGGGUGAAUCCUUUUGGCAGGAAAUCUGACAGGAGGUCAAUACGGAAUGCCACAAGAUCAGAAGGCCGAGCUGUAGCCAAAUCAGAGAAAGAAAAAAGAGACAGCAAGAGAGUUUAUACAGAUAGAGCCUGGAAACAAAGAGCAUGUACCGUAGAUGAAGAUAAUCAUGGUGAUGAUGAGAACGCACUAUAGUAGCAGAAGUACAAAAGGGAAGAAGAUCUCAAAUGUAAAGCCCUUAAAUACCCAGUUAAAUCCUGGCUGACCUUUACCUUUUCUGCUCAGCCACAACCGUGCAGACAUUCCUCAUCUACUCUCCUUUUUAUUGCUCUUUCCUUCCACUUUUUUUCUUACUCUUUUGUGCAACGCACCAGACUCCAUUAAGAGCAAAAAAGGGGAAGACUGAUGCUGUGACAGAAAGAUCCUGCUUCCUUCAUCAACAAAAGGUCUUCAGUAGACUGUGGAAUAAAUGGAGCACCAGGGUAGAGUCUUUGAAAAGGUCUAAAAAGGUUCUAUUGAUGUGAUGACAUGUUCUCUAUGCAGGUCUGAAAAUGUCAAAUAUCAACAAAGGGGCUCAACCUGUCACAUGGCAUGUGAUCAUAAGGGAAAACACAAGGUAUAGGGUACAUAAGGUUGCCAAUCUGGUAUAUGAAGGCAUGUUAUUUAUAUUCUUGAUAUAUCCAUGACUACAGCACAACAUGUCAUAAGUUACAGAAAUUACAUUACACAGUUAUAUUGCCAUGUUACAGAAAUCUAAAUGUAGAGCUAGACCCCUAUGAGCAAGCUAGAGGAGACAACAUGAGGAAGAAUCACAGAGCGGAGUCUUCUGGGUGGAUUAUUUUCAUUAAAGGAUAGGAAAUGUUCUGUAUAUUCCUACUGUUAAUAGGAGAUCUGAGAUAAACUUUUGGUCUUUAUGAGUCAUACAAGGUGCAAAAUAGACAUAAACAAGUAUGAAGAAUAGGGCAACACACCUAGAUCAAUCAGCGUGUCAGGAUCUGACACUAACAUCACAUCCAGCAGUAGUGUAGAUUAUUAGGUACGCUCUGACUGGAAUAAAAAAAAAAGUGGAAUUACAUAGUGUAAUAAAAUUGCGAUCAGAGAGCAACUGCGAACUGCGGCAGGCCUAACUAUGACAGUAUAAGCUCCAGAUCUACACAUUUACCUAAAAUAAGAACGCCUGACUAAUCAUAUAUCUUCUCAACCUAGACUUAAAGAUUGAGAUUGUGGGCUAUGUAGGAAAAAUGUCUGCCCCUGCCUUCAUUAUUCUAGGCACUGAUAAAGAGCCUGCACAACCAAAUAAGCUCCUCUUCUUCCCUUUAAAAAGAAAAAGCGACUUUUUUUAAUGACAAAGGUGUAGACUGCACUUUUUAAAAACAUUUUUAAAGGUACAUUAGUGGUACACAUUAUCGUUGUGGUGUAUAGCACUUGGAUUAACAAAUAAAUGGUUUAUAUCCACUUUUACACAUGUCAUGUGACCAUGAAAAAAUAAAUCAGUUUAGCUCCGCCGUUGUACUGACACUCAAAUCUACAGUGAAGCGAAAUACAACUGACACCUCACUAUUCCAGAAGCUGUAACAGCCCAAGGUUAAAUUAAAUCAGGGAUAAUCAGGGAUUGAAAGCUUAUUCGUUUAAUUAAAUCUAUUGAGCUGAGUAAAUCUCAACAAAACCCAGAAUUAUUAAUCACCCUGUAAUUAACAAGGACAGAGCAAAUGUGAAGUUAUCUGUUGUUUUAGUGAUGAAUUCCCAAGAAACAGACAUAUUUUACAUGAUUUCCACGACUUCUAUAUAUGUCACCUUUUGUUCAUGUCAAGAAUAAAAAUUUGCAACUGUCGGCUUCAUAAAAUAUAUGUAGAGAAAGAAUAAAGUAAACAAACAAACAAAAAAAAUCCAAUAUAAAGAACUGCCAAGAGUGUGCGCAUGUAUGCGAUACCAUCUAAAACUGAGCAGAGGACUGGAGGCUUAUGUCUGGUCAGUGCAGUAUCACAGAAAAAAGCUUUAAAAAAAGAAAAGGAAAAGUAUUUGUGUUCUAUAUAUGUGCAAUGGCGGUCACUAACUGCAAAGAAAAGGUAAGAAUAAUACUUCAGCUUCUCAUCUGAGAAACGUUGAGAUUAUUAAUACAUAUACACAUGCUCCAUUUAACAUCUUUGUUUCAUUAUAUCUUAGUGAUUCAAAGGAAUGUUGCAUAAAUAAGGUCAAAAGAAAAAGCUACGCCUGCUAACUCUGACCCCUCAUUAUAAGUUGGCUUGUACACAUUCUUACGAAUUUGAAAUCUUCAGACUUUGAGAGCAAGACAGUUGGAGGAAAGAUGACAUAUGCGUGGUAGGAGAUGUAUAUAAAGAGAUUUUUUGGUAUUUCGUUAAGCAAUAUCGCAUGAGCAUGUUAUACUGAAACUGCCACAUACUGAGUGCCACAGGUAAUCACAGACGUGCUGAUAUUCAGUACAACAACACGACUGCGAGUGGGAUAUUGCUUAUACAAACAACAGUCUAAUUGACAACGGUUUCAAUGUACAACCCCAAUUCUGAAAAACUUGGGACAGUAUGGAAAAUGAAAAAAACAAAAAAACAAACAAAAAGAGUCAUUCAGCCUGUACUCUACUGAAAACACAUUAUUAACACACUAUUUGAUGUUUUACUUUGCGAAUUUCAUUUAAUUUUGAAAAUGUACACUCAUUUCAAAUCUGAUGACUGAAACACACUCCAAAAAAAGUUGGGACAGUCGACUGUUUGCCACUGUGUAACAUCAACUUUUCUUUUAAUAACACUUAUUAAGCGUUUGGGCGCUGAAGACACCAGGUGGUUAAGUUUAGCAAGCGGGAUUUUCCCCCAUUCAUCCAUUAUGCAUUUCUUCAGCUGCGCACUGUACAGAGUCUACGUUUCCUUAUUUUGCGCUUGAUAAUGCGCCACACAUUCUCAAUGGGAGAUAGGUCAGGACUGCAGGCAGACCAUGCUAACACCCGAACCCUCUGCUUACGCAACCAUGUGCUUGUAAUCCGGACAGAAUGUGAUUUGGUGUUGUUCUGCUCUGGAUGGCAGCAUAUGUUGCUCCAAAAUGUGUACAUAUCUUUCUGCAUUAAUGAUGCCCUCACAGAUGUGCAAGUUACCCAUGCCAUGAGCACUGACACACCCCCAUACAUGACAGAUGCUGGCUUUUGGACCUGACGCUGAUAACAGCUUGGAUGGUCUUUUUCCUCUUUGGCACUGAGAACACGACGGCUGUUUUGUCCAAGAACUAUUUGAAAUGUUGUCUCAUCAGACCACAAAACAUGAUUCCACUGCUACUGUCCAUCUCAGAUGAGACCGAGCCCAGACAAGUCGGUGGUGCUUCUGGACAGUGUUGAUGUAUGGCUUCUGCUUUGCAUAGUAAAGUCUUAACUUGCAUCGGUGGAUGCAGCGGCGAAUGGUGUCGACUGACAAAGGUUUACCAAAGUAUUCCCGAGCCCAUGUCAGGAUAUCCAUUACAGACUCAUGAUGGUUUUAAGACGUAGACGUCUGAGGGAUCGGAGAUCACACGCAUUCAGAAGUGGUUUUCGGCCUUGCCCUUUACACAUCGAGAUUUGACUGGAUUCUUCAAUCUUUUAAUUAUAUUGUGCACUGCAGAAGGUGAAAUGUCCAAAACCUUCCUGAUUUCUUUUUGGGAAAUGUUGUUCUCAAAGUGUUGGAUUAUUCACUGAUGCAUCUGUUAGCAGAUUGGUGAGCCUGGACCCAUCCUUGCUCUUGAAGGACUAGGCCUUUUUUGGAGGCUUCUUAUAUACUAUGAUUAGACGACUGCCUCACCUGUUUCACAUCACCUUCUUACUUCAACUUCUCACAUCACUAUUAGUCCUAAAUUGCCCGUGUCCCAACUUUUUAGGAAUGUGUUGCAUGCAUCGAUUUCAAAAUAAGCAUUUAUCUUCAAAACCUAUGCAGUUGAUUUGGUAAAACAUCAAAUACCUUGACUUUAUACGUUUUCUGUUUGAAUACAAGUCAAAGUACAUUUACAAAUCACUCCUCUUUGUUUUUAUCAGCAUUUUCCAUACCGUCCCGACUUUUUCAGAUUUGGGGUUGUAAUAAACUAUUGCUAGAAUUUAAAUUUUUGUAGUGAACACAGACAAGCAGCAUGAUAGAAACAAUGAAAUGUACCAGUGGUGUUAUACUAACUAUCAGCACUCUUGGAAUAACACAUGUCCAGCCAAAUUAGUGGACUGGACCUAGUAAAUGUCCAAAAUGGAGUCUGCAGGCUCGCGAGUGGUACAACUUCCCUAUCAUCUGAGAUUGUGCGUUCUAAUCCUGACUCAAUGUAUUGCUAUCUCCUAUCAAUCAGAAGGAAACUAGCUAACAGUAGUGAAUUAAAGGCACACGGUGGCUUUCACUCUUCCACACUGGUAGCUGUAGUGUAACAUAGGUGGCUUAGCUAUUGGAUGCAGACUAGUAACAACUAUAUAAGGAGAAACUUUAUGUGUGUGUGUGUGUGUGUGUGUGUGUGUGUGUGUGUGUGUGUCUGUCCUUGCUGUGAAUUAUCUUAAACUGCAAACCUCAGGUUAUCUUUGCCACUGGGAGCUGACAGCAACAAAACCCCUGCUGUGUUCUGAUCUCCCAAAACUCCCUGCCACAGGACAGAGAGGUAGGGAGUGCAAUGGGGUGAAUAGUAAUAAGGCAAAUGAAUGGCAGCAGGAGCUUAGCAUUAAUACUACAACAGCAAAUGACAUGGUGCAGAUUCUGUGCUAAUCAAUACGCACCAUGGAUAUCUGUGUGUCAUCAGCAGGGAAGGGAAAAAUACAUCAAUAUACUGUAUAUCCUGAUAUGUAAUACCAAAUGCUCGAAUGUAAAAGUAUCACAAUACAUUAAAAAUACUGCGAAGAAACGAUACAACUCAGAAACCAGACUGGAGUUUUUUUCUACUACCUCAUGUUUCUGAGUAAGCCUAGCACUUUUGUUUGUCUCCUACAUUGGUUUUAUGAAAACUAGAAAACCUGCACCGGCAUCCGUCUGUCCACUUUAUGACAGAUGAGUAAAUCAGUCUUACUGUCUCUUUGUUUCAGGCCUGCCAUUUGACAUGUCAGUGCAUGUUUACAUGUGUGUUCCUAUCCAGAGGCAAUAAAAGCAGAGAUUCAAUCAUUUCCACUCUAGGUUAUAUAAGGAGAUUAAUUAUUGUAUAAGGCAUACAAAUGCAUCCAAGCAAUACUUGCUCUAAAUUACCCUGCUACUCAAAAUACAAAAGGCAUGACAUAAAUAAAUAAAGAAAGAAAGAAGAAAAAAGAAAAACCUGUAUACAAAUACACAUUGUGUAAAUGGUUUCCUCACUGUAAAUAACCCUGUAAAUAGCAGCAAUGCAAACAGCAGUGGGAAUAUAUAAUUAAGUAUAUAGUACCUAACGGGCUGCAGGAUAACCUGAAACACUGUUUAUUUUCUACUUACUCAUGAAUCACAUUCAGUUUGUCCUUAGGGAAAAGACAAGUAAAGAAACUCCCAAAAAACUGUCCUGGCCACACCUUCACCUCUCUCACACUACUACCUGCACUCACAUACAUCUUUAACACAUCCCUCUCCACCGGCACAUUACCUCAUUGAAGCAUGCCCGGGUUACCCCGCUGCUUAAAAAAACAACACUUAACCUUGCUGCUGUUGACAACUACAGACCUGUCUCCCUUCUCCCUUUUCUGUCCAAAACCCUUUUUUUUUUUUUUUUGGAGAGCUGUUUUUAAUCGAUUCUCCACUUUUCUCACACAGAACAAUCUCCUGGACACCAAGCAGUCUGGCUUCAAAACCAGUCACUCCACAUAAAUUGCUCUGCUUUCUGUCACUGAAGCAUUACGACUAGCAAGAUCAACUGUCCUCAUCCUACUCAACCUUUCUGCUGCCUUUAACACUGUGAAUAAUCAGAUCCUCCUGUCAACUCUCUCCAGCCUAGGCAUCACCAGAAUGGCUCUGUGCUAUCUCUCAGACAGAUCCUUCAAGGUAUUGUGGAGAAGAAGGGUUUCUGAAACUCAGCAACUCACAACUGGGGUUUCCCAUGGGUCACUGCUCUUUUUUCUAUUUAUACUACGUUUCAGGGGCCUGUGAUUGAGUCUCAUGGCUUCUCAUAUCACUGCUACGCUGAUGACAUUCAGCUCUAUUUGUCUUUCCAGCCUGAUGAUCCAUCCUUCUCAGCACGCAUCUCUGCCUACCUGACUGACAUCUCAAACUGGAUGGGGGAACGCCACCUUAAGCUCAACUUUGCAAAAUCUGAGCUUCUCUUCAUCCCAGCCUGCCCCUUAAUCAACUACAACCUCACUGUACAGCUCGGCUCAACCACAGUCGAGCCAACCAGGACAGCCAGGAACCUUGGGGUGACUUUCGAUGACAACUUGACCUUUACAGACCACAUUUUAACAACUGCAUGAUCCUGUAGGUUCAUUCUAUACAACAUCAAGAAAAUCAGACCUCACAGUUCUCACUGAACAGACUACAUAACUACUAGUCCAGGCUCUUGUCAUAUCAAAACUGGACUACUGCAAUGUACUACUCUCAGGCCUCCCAGCUAGCUCCAUCAAACCCCUUCAGAUGAUCCAGAACGCAGCAGCACCCCUCGUCUUCAACCAGCCCAAGAGAAUCCAUGUCAUACCCCUCUUCAUCUCCCUCCACUGGCUUCCUGUAGCCGCCCGUAUCAAAUUCAAGGCCUUGAUGCUCAUGUACGAGACUUUGUCUGGAACAGCACCCCUCUACCUCAACACUCUCCUUGAGGUUUAUGUUCCCUCAUGCAACCUGUGAUCAGUUAAUGACCGACACCUUGUAUAGUGUCUAGUCAGCAAGGCAUAAGGUCCCUUUCCAAAACCUUCACACUAACUGUCCCUCAGUGGUGGAAUGAACUUCCAACCUCAACCCGGACCACAGAAUCUGUCACUAUCUUCAAAAAACUGCUAAAGACCCACCUCUUCCGUGAACACCUAACUAACCCCUAACUAAAAAAAUAUAUUCUGCACUUACAUUGGCUCUUACACCUCUACUCUGCAGACAAUUCUCUGGAACUCAAUUAAAAAUCUUAUAUGGUAACUUGUAUUGUUCACCACUUGAUAUAUCGCUUUGCUUGUAUUUCCUCAUUUGUAACUUGUUUAAGAUGAAAGCGUCUGAUAAAUGAAUAAAUGUAAAAUGCAAAUAAUUGUAAAAUUGUGUCAUUAUGAAGAGGCAAUAUCAUCAGGUAUCACAGAUUUAUUCAUUUACACACAGUAAUAUAUUUUGCCACUGAUCCGUACAUAGGAUAUGUAUUUCUGUAUAUAUUCUGUAUACAAAUGUAUACAUUUCUUAGAUAGAAUAUAAAAGUCUGCCAUCUUUAAUUCAUCUUUACAGUGGAAUUCAAACCCCGCUAACACACGGUGAGGCCAGAUUCCAAAUAAAUUCCUAAUCACAAUGCACAUUCAACACAUAAAAUAUAACACAAUGCCCCCAUAGAGCUUCCAGUACA
ensembl:lncRNA